rnacentral:rRNA from 1 species
AGGGUUUCUUCCCUCUUGACAGAGGUUUACGAUCCGAAGACCUUCAUCCCUCACGAGGCGUCGCUGCGUCAGGCUUUCGCCCAUUGCGCAAUAUUCCCCACUGCUGCCUCCCGUAG